AGAAAACGAAGAGCAUCUGAUGAAGAUGAACAAUGUUGGACUGAUGUUGAAACAAGGUGUGCUUAUGCCAUUGAAUGCAAACCUGAUUCAGGCCCUGCAUAUUUGCACAAACGCAAGAAGACCUGAACUGAAUCAUAAAUCAAUCAAUCUAAAGGGCAGCCACAACACAGUGAGUGGCAUCCACAGCUAAAUAAGCAAGAUAAAAGCAAAUACAUGUACAGCACAUUUUUGUUUUCAAUUACUAAAUCUUUACCAAUGAUACACAUGUAGAAUGUAUUAUCCUCCAAUUUCAAUCCCCAAUUUUAUGUGUAAAGGAGCUGGACAGUCUAUUUUUGCUGUACUUCAUGUAAAUAGAAAUAUUUGUGUUGCAUUACAACUUACUUUAGAACUGAAUGUCAAUAACAAAUGUGAAGGAUAAGAAAAAACAAAGCUAAUUAGAAGUUGAGUAAAAUAAAGACAGUGAUAACAGUUCUACGAAACAAAUCACAAUCUCUGUUC